AUUGAACGCUGGCGGCAUGCCUUACACAUGCAAGUCGAACGGCAGCGGACCUUCGGGUGCCGGCGAGUGGCGAACGGGUGAGUAAUAUAUCGGAACGUACCUUUCAGUGGGGGAUAACGUAGCGAAAGUUACGCUAAUACCGCAUAUUCUGUGAGCAGGAAAGCAGGGGAUCGCAAGACCUUGCGCUGAUUGAGCGGCCGAUAUCAGAUUAGCUAGUUGGUGAGGUAAAGGCUCACCAAGGCGACGAUCUGUAGCGGGUCUGAGAGGAUGAUCCGCCACACUGGAACUGAGACACGGUCCAGACUCCUACGGAGGCAGCAGUGGGGAAUUUUGGACAAUGGGCGCAAGCCUGAUCCAGCCAUGCCGCGUGAGUGAAGAAGGCCUCGGUUGUAAG
rnacentral:rRNA from 1 species